UUGUCCAAGUCACGUGAUCGUCGAAUCUGUUGACCUGGCGCCACCGGAAAAAGAAAUUCCCGGGCCCUGGCUUCUUGGCCUGAUGGCACUGCUAGCCUUGAAGCCUCCAGCCUGCUGGAUGCCUCCAUCCCCGGCUAUGCUGUGGCUCUCCUCAUUCUAGGCCUCCUGCUCGUCACAUUCACCCUUGUCCUGGUGCUAAAGUGGAGGGCCUCCCAUGGGGUGUUCAGCCUGGGUGUGUAGAAGCACACAGUGUGGUACAGAGGACCCUCUCCAGACAGCUGCCUCCCACCAACCCUAGAAAUGAUGCUGGGAGCUGACAGAAACUGAACUUAGGAGCACAGGAGGCCAGGAGACCUGGGACAGAGAACAGGAGGUGACCCCUCAUGCUGCUGCUCCCUCUGCUGAAACCCAAACUGCAAACCUCUCCUCUCCCUGCCUUCACCUUGCCCCACGGCUUCCACAGACAGUGCCUCAACCCCGAGGAAUGAAUCCGAAGUUCCAACACCACUGACUUUCCCAGGAACUCAGAGCCAGAGAGGGCCAAGGACCAGCUCGAGGACACACAGCCAGGGCUUCUUCCCUCCGAAACCCCCAAGGACUGGACUUGCAGGGCUGGGACAGAGGUGGGGUGGGGGAAAGCAAUGCCUUGUCAACCCACGUGGGGAGCCCCACUCCCAUCCCCAAGGUGCAUAAAGUUGAGGAACACCCCUGCU
rnacentral:lncRNA from 1 species